GUUUUUUUCACCUGUAUAAUAACUCUAUGCUUAUCUAAAUUUACUAAUCUCUUGUCAAACAUUGAAGACAAAGAUGUUUCUUCACCUAAAUCAUAAAUUCAUUAAACUCAAAUUCCUUAAUGGAAAUAUGAUCCACUUUGUAUCAAGGGCGGCCUUCCACAUUUUCAUUAAUUCUUCACAACUUGUAGAAAUCGGUCACCAACCUCAUAGUUUCAUUAACUAUGUAGUUACUCUCUGUUCAUACAAACUUCUAUAUAUAGGUUGGCUCAUUUGUCACUCUUUCAUUCUUAAACAAGCAAAUAGCCAAAUAGCUGCAGUGUUUGGUACUCAAGGUAGCCAAAUCUCAUUGCAAAAUGGACUAUUGUAAUGAAGAAUCAAAUGAAGACGAUGAUUUUUUUGAACAAAGCUUCUUUAGUGGGUGCACUAAUGGGUGAGUAUGCUGUGAAACAUUUAUGUAAAGAGCCAUGUAGAACUAGUGAGCUAACAGGGCAUGCAUGGGUGAAAGAAGUAUUGCAAGGAAAUCCCACUCGUUGUUAUGAGAUGUUUCGAAUGGAAAAACAUAUUUUUCAUAAACUUUGCACUAAAUUAGUUGAUCAUGGUUUAAAGUCCACUAAUCACAUAGGGGUAGAAGAGAUGGUUGCAAUGUUCUUACUUGUUGUUGGACAUGGAGUGGGUAAUAAAAUGAUUCAAGAAAGGUUCCAACACUCAGGAGAAACUGUGAGUAGACGUUUUCAUGAUGUGUUAGUUGCUUGCUUGAGUUUGUCCAUCGAAUAUAUAAAGCCUCAAGAUCCUUUGUUCCGUGAUAGUCAUGCAAAAAUUCAAAGUGAUCCACGAUAUUGGCCAUUUUUUAAGAAUGCCAUAGGAGCAAUCGAUGGUACGCAUAUUCCCUGUGUGGUUAGUGCCAAUGACCAAACUAGAUUUAUUGGACGAAAGGGAUAUCCGACACAAAAUGUAAUGGCUGUAUGUGAUUGGAACAUUUGCUUUACUUUGUUUUAGCUGGAUGGGAAGGUAGUGCCCAUGAUGCUCGUGUUUUUGACCAUGCUCUCACAAAUGCAAAUCUAAAUUUUCCACAUCCUCCUCCAGGUAUGUAUUAUUUGGUGGAUGCCGGUUAUCCAACACCGAUGGGAUAUCUUGGUCCAUACAGAUGUGAAUGUUAUCACCUCCCUGAUUUUCGGUGUUCUCAUGGGUUUGAAAAUAACAACGAGGUAUUCAAUUAUUAUCACUCAAGUUUAAGGUGCACAAUAGAAAGAACUUUUGGUGUAUGGAAGAAUAGAUUUGCAAUUCUACGACGCAUGCCUAAAUUCACAAUUAAGAUACAAGUUGAAGUCGUUGUUGCAACGAUGGCUAUACAUAACUUUAUUAGAAGGAAUGUUGAUAUGGACGUCGAUUUCAAUCGGUAUGAGGAUGAAGACUUAACCCUUGAUCAUGAUGAUUAUCGUAGACCAGUUAAUUAGGAUUUAUCUCAAAAUUUAAAUUUAGCUUUCUCAUCUGAGAUGAAUCAUGUUCGAAACUCGGUUCGAGAUCAAAUUAUAGAGUUCAACAAAAAUCAUUAUUAUUGUAGUAAUGUUUAAUUUUAAAAGACCAUCAGAGAUGAGAUAGCAGGAUGCACUGAGAAGGCAUAUGACUAUCUUGCAAAGAAACACCCUCUCUGCAACUCAUCAACCAAACACUUAGUUAUGCUAAGGAGAUGGAGAAGAUUGUCUCAAAAGAAAUGGAUGCAAUGGAUUUUGUGUUUUCCAAGAUUGCUAAUAUUGUCUAAUGAAAUUGUUUACUUCUGAUUCAAUGUGGAA